CUACGGGGGGCUGCAGUGAGGAAUAUUGCACAAUGGGGGGAACCCCGAUGCAGCAACGCCGCGUGGAGGAUGACGCAUUUCGGUGUGUAAACUCCUUUUAUAUGCCAAGAAAAUGACGGUAGCAUAUGAAUAAGCACCGGCUAACUCCGUGCCAGCAGCCGCGGUAAUACGGAGGGUGCAAACGUUACUCGGAAUCACUGGGCGUAAAGGACGCGUAGGCGGGUUGGAAAGUCAGGUGUGAAAUCCUACAGCUUAACUGUAGAACUGCACUUGAAACUUCUAAUCUAGAGUAUGGGAGGGGGAGAUGGAAUUAGUGGUGUAGGGGUAAAAUCCGUAGAUAUCACUAGGAAUACCUAAAGCGAAGGCGAUCUCCUGGAACAUUACUGACGCUAAGGCGUGAAAGCGUGGGGAGCAAACAGGAUUAGAUACCCGCGUAGUC
rnacentral:rRNA from 1 species